GGGUGUAACGUGUACACUCAUAAUCGGGAAGCAAGUACAGGGAGUGAAUUUAAUGAAUAAACUAUCAAAACAAGAAACACGACUACUUGAAACAGAAACAGAGUGAGUAUUCUGUAACGUAUAUGCUGGGAGUCGGAGAGCAAGUGCAGGUGAUGAGUUUAAUAAUAAACGAAACAUCGAACAAUAAAGCAAACACGAGUAGCAGUACAGACAUGAAAAUCAAAAACAGAAACAAUGACGCCUGGGGAAAGAACCGAAGGGAGUAAACGUGACAGGGCGAAGAGGAGGAGGCAGGAAGAUGAAGGACAGGAGUGAGGGUAAAAAAGUGAGACGGGAGAGGAAGAGGACAAGAAAAAAACAAGGGGAGAGAAAAAGAUCUCCACUAACACUCUAACGUGGAUGGUGUUGGUGCUCGGCGUCUGCUGUAAGCUACAAAGAUGUGUGGUCUGGCCAAGAGUGUGAAGUUCUACCAGGCCUCUACUAUUGAACUCUACGGGAAGGUCCACCCCUUUCUACCCAUGCUCACCUUUUGGGUGGCGUUUUGGUUGGCCGGCCCAUUCAGGACCCCGGCCGUUGCACUGAGGGGGUUUUGGACUUCUCCUCUGUCUCCCCUCAGGAGGGGUAGGUGUGUGCGUGCGUGCGUCCAUGGUGUGCUGGUGUGCAUGCGGGUAUGUGUGUGUGGCUAUAAUGGACUCUCCCAUCCCUCACAGCACAUUUCAUGUCCUUUAUAAACUCAUAAAACCACAGGGAAUUCAACUCUAUUAAAAAAUAUAUAUAUAAUUGAGUGGUGCAAAGUACUGGAACCAUGUGUGUGUGUGUGUGUGUGUGUGUGUGUGUGUGUGUGUGUGUGUGUGUGUGUGUGUGUGUGUGUGUGUGUGUGUGUGUGUGUGUGUGUGUGUGUGUGAGUGUGCGUGUCGCAUGCCGUGGGUAUGUCCAUGCGUGUGCAUGUGCAUGUAUUUUUUUGAUAUUAAAGGGCCAUUCACUACCUGCCUGCUGCCCCUCCCUGCUCCAGCACCACACGGUCAUUAGUCACUAAUGGAGCUGGGAGAAGAUGAUGUAAGAAGGUUCUGUAGCGAUGACAUCACCGCAUCCUCCAACUCCACCCCAACAUUCAGGAAACACUGUGAUGCCAUUGUUCCAGCGUGCCACCGUGACCUGGCGGAGUGAGUGUGUCAUAACCGGAAUACAUUUUAUUUAAAAAAAACAAAAUAACCACAAUGCAGCAGCAGCAGACAUAGACAUUUUAUGAAUAGUACAGCCUCGGAACAUCUAAACGCCGGUUUAUACUUAGACUGUGACAGGUGUAGCAGAUCAAGACUACAUUUAAUGUUUACUCUGGUGGAAUGCUGCACAGACAUUAAAAAAAGUGAAUGUGUCUGUGACUGUCGCAACAUCCGUUGUCGUGGUUACUGGGCUGCUACAGCAACAAGUCCAAAUCCAUCUGUGACGAGAGCUGCAGGAGUUCUAAAAUUCUCAGACAGAAUUACCUACUUUUAUUUCGGCGCACUCACAACCAAAACCUAUUUUCUGUCAACUCGCCAUCAUUACCUUGUAAAUAAUGAAGUUGAUGUGGUAUCUUUUCCUGUAAUAAUGAA